GCGGCGAGAGGCGGGCGGGCGCCGGGAGCGGGAGGAGGAGCGGCAGCCGCCGCCACCGCCGCCGCCAUAGAGACUGUAGCCGUGGAGACUGUUACUUACCAACGGGGACCAACACGCAGCAGCCGCCACCGCCGCCGCGGGAGCCGUUGCCCGAACUCCCGGCCGGAACUCCAGAACUGAGCAUGCAGAAUUCAGAGGGUGGAUCGGAUUCGCCGGCUUCCGUGGCUCUGUGUCCCUCGUCAGCAGCCCAGGCGCCUGUGGCCCAGCCUGUGCCAGCCUCGCCACAGAGGGUGUUGGUCCAGGCAGCAGGCUCGGCUCCCAAGGGGGCUCAGAUGCAGCCCAUCUCCCUCCCCAGAGUGCAGCAGGUGCCACAGCAGGUCCAGCCCGUGCAGCACGUGUAUCCCCCCCAGGUGCAGUACGUGGAAGGGGGGGAAGCCGUCUACACCAACGGAGCCUUGCGGACGGCGUAUGCCUACAACCCCGAACCCCAGAUGUACGCCCCCAGCAGCUCCGCGUCGUACUUCGAGGCCCCGGGCGGUGCCCAGGUGACCGUGGCAGGCUCCUCCCCGACGGCAGUCCCCGCCCACAGCAUGGUGGGCAUCACCAUGGAUGUCGGGGGCAGCCCCAUCGUCUCCGGCACGGGAGCCUACCUCAUCCACGGGGGCAUGGACGGCACCCGGCACUCCCUGGCGCACACAUCCCGCUCAUCACCCGCUACGCUUGAAAUGGCGAUUGAAAACCUCCAAAAAAGCGAAGGGAUCACAUCACACAAAAGCGGUUUACUCAACAGUCAUCUCCAGUGGCUCUUGGAUAAUUACGAAACCGCAGAAGGCGUGAGUCUCCCCAGAAGUUCGCUCUACAACCACUACCUUCGCCACUGCCAGGAACACAAGCUGGACCCCGUGAACGCGGCCUCCUUUGGGAAGCUGAUCCGCUCCGUGUUCAUGGGCUUGAGGACGCGGCGGCUGGGUACCAGGGGCAACUCCAAGUAUCAUUACUACGGGAUCCGUCUGAAGCCAGACUCGCCCCUGAACCGGCUGCAGGAGGACACGCAGUACAUGGCCAUGCGGCAGCAGCCUGUGCAUCAGAAGCCCAGGUACCGGCCAGCCCAGAAGACGGACAGCCUUGGGGAGAGCGGCUCGCACGGCAGCCUGCACAGCACACCUGAGCAGGCCAUGGCUGCCCAGAGCCAACACCACCAGCAGUACAUCGAUGUGUCCCACGUCUUUCCGGAGUUCCCGGCGCCCGACCUGGGCAGUGUCCUGCUGCAGGAGAAUAUCACGCUGCACGACAUCAAGGCCCUUCAGCUGGCCUACCGGCGGCACUGCGAGGCCACGUUAGAUGUCGUGAUGAACCUCCAGUUCCACUACGUUGAGAAGCUGUGGCUUUCCUUCUGGAAUUCUAAAGCCUCCUCCGGCGACGGCCCUGCCUCUCUACCUACCAGCGACGAGGAGCCGGAGGGCGCCGUCCUCCCCAAGGACAAGCUGGUAUCUUUGUGCAAGUGCGACCCCGUGCUCAGGUGGAUGAGGACCUGCGACCACAUCCUGUACCAGGCGCUGGUGGAGAUCCUCAUCCCAGACGUGCUGCGGCCCGUGCCCAGUACCCUGACACAGGCCAUCCGCAAUUUUGCCAAGAGCUUGGAAGGCUGGUUGACGAACGCCAUGAGCGACUUCCCACAGCAGGUCAUCCAGACCAAGGUCGGCGUGGUCGGUGCCUUCGCACAGACCCUGCGGCGCUACACGUCGCUCAACCACCUGGCGCAGGCGGCCCGGGCAGUGCUGCAGAACACGGCGCAGAUCAGCCAGAUGCUGAGCGACCUCAACCGCGUGGACUUCGCCAACGUGCAGGAGCAGGCCUCGUGGGUGUGCCAGUGCGAGGAGGGCGUGGUGCAGCGUCUGGAGCAGGACUUCAAGCUGACCCUGCAGCAGCAGAGCUCCCUGGACCAGUGGGCCAGCUGGCUGGACAACGUAGUCACCCAGGUCCUGAAGCAGCACGCGGGCAGCCCCAGCUUCCCGAAGGCUGCGCGGCAGUUCCUGCUGAAAUGGUCCUUCUACAGCUCCAUGGUGAUCCGCGACCUCACGCUGCGCAGCGCCGCCAGCUUUGGCUCCUUCCACCUCAUCCGGCUGCUCUACGACGAGUACAUGUUCUACCUGGUGGAGCACCGCGUCGCCGAGGCCACUGGGGAGACGCCCAUUGCCGUGAUGGGAGAGUUCAACGAUCUUGCCUCCCUGUCGCUGACACUGCUCGACAAAGUCUUCCAAGAAAAGCCUGCCAUUGCUCCGCCCGUCUUUGUGUUUCAGAAGGAUAAAGGACAAAAGUCCUCUGCAGAGCAAAAAGACUUGUCGGAUUCGGGAGAGGAGCCUCGGGGGGAGGCUGAGGCCCCCCACCAUGGCACGGGUCACCCCGAGUCAGCUGGUGAGCAUGCCCUAGAGCUUCCUGCCCCCGCUAGCGCUUCAGCCAGCGCUCCUGAAGCCCAGCUUCCUCCUUUUCCACGAGAACUGGCAGGGAGGUCAGCCGGAGGCUCCAGCCCCGAAGGUGGAGAAGAUUCUGACCGAGAAGAUGGAAAUUACUGCCCUCCCGUCAAGCGAGAAAGAACAUCCUCUUUAACGCAAUUCCCGCCUUCACAGUCAGUAUCAAAAAACAAUGUUUUUAUGCCAUCCACCUUCUGCGAGCCAUCUGCAGGCAAUUCUGACUCAGAACCAGAGGAAAAGAGCAGUGGAUUCCGGUUGAAGCCGCCGACCCUGAUCCACGGCCAGGCACCCAGUGCAGGUCUGCCGAGCCAGAAGCCCAAGGAGCAGCAGCGGAGCGUGCUUCGCCCAGCAGUGCUACAAGCCCCGCAGCCAAAGGUGCUCUCACAGACCGUCCCGAGCAGCGGCACCAACGGGGUCAGUGUCCCGGCAGACUGCCCGGGGGCAGCGACAUCGGCUUCGCCUGACAACCCCUCCCGGAGGAGUCCCUCUGACGAGGCACCAGCACUUGAGGAGAAAGACUCGCAGAAAAAUGAGUCCAGCAGUGCUUCUGAGGAGAGCUGCGAGAAGAAGGAGCUUGCACAGCAGGCGUUUGUGUUCGGGCAGAACCUGAGGGACAGAGUUAAGUUAAUAAAUGAGAACGCUGAAGUAGUGGACAUGGAGAACGCCGGACACCCCAGUUCAGAAGCGCCAGCCGCCACCAACUACUUCCUUCAGUACAUCAGCUCCAGUUUAGAGAGCUCAGCCAACAGUGCCGACGCCGCCAGCAGCAAAUUCAUAUUUGGCCAGAACAUGAGUGAGCGCGUGUUGAGCCCGCCCAAGUUAAACGAGGUCAGCCCGGAUGCCAACAGAGAAAACACAGUGGCCGAGUCCGGGUCCGAGUCCUCGUCCCAGGAGGCCACCCCCGAGAAAGCUAAUAACAUUGCAGAGUCGCUGGCCGAGUCGGCGGCCGCCUACACCAAGGCGACAGCGCGGAAGUGCUUGCUGGAAAAGGUGGAGGUGAUCACCGGGGAGGAGGCCGAAAGCAACGUGCUGCAGAUCCAGUGUAAGCUGUUUGUCUUUGACAAGACCUCGCAGUCGUGGGUGGAGAGAGGCCGGGGGCUGCUCAGACUCAACGACAUGGCAUCGACUGACGAUGGGACGUUGCAGUCCCGACUAGUGAUGCGGACCCAGGGCAGCCUGCGGCUGAUCCUCAACACCAAGCUGUGGGCCCAGAUGCAGAUGGACAAGGCCAGUGAGAAGAGCAUCCGCAUCACAGCCAUGGACACGGAGGACCAGGGCGUGAAGGUCUUCCUGAUCUCGGCCAGCUCCAAGGACACGGGCCAGCUGUAUGCGGCCCUGCACCACCGCAUCCUGGCCCUGCGCAGCCACGUGGAGCAGGAGCAGGAGGCCAGGACGCCGGCCCCCGAGCCUGGGGCGGCCCCGUCCAACGAGGACGACAGCGACGACGACGACGUCCUGGCCCCGUCGGGGGCCACCGGAGGCGGCGCUGGCGACGAAGGGGACGGGCAGACGGCCGGGAGCACAUAGCGCCGGGAGCCGGCUGCCCACGAGCCUGCUGCUUUGUCCGUCUGUCUGCCCGCCCGCCCGCCCCUCCCUCCGGCAGCGUCGAGGCGCGGGGCUCGGGAACCACACUCCCCGCUGGGUGGCCACAGUCUGGAUCCGCACGUCCCGUUCAGAAGCAGACUCGGGAACUGCCUGAAUGUGGUUUGGGACACGAACCUCAUCAUAUUGAUGAGCAAAACGAAAAAGAACAUUUCUUCCCUCCCCACCUUGAAUUGAAAUGGCACAUUAAGACUUGUCACGGCUUCUCACUGGGACUGGGACCCCUCGUUUCUUCACCCCACCCUCGUCGUGUCGCCGGCUCUCCCCGCCUCCACCUGCCCGGGCACCGGGUCUGUCCACACAGUGUCACGCUGGGCCUGCUGGACCUUCUGUUACUACUGUCUUUACCUCCCAGCUCCCACGUUCUGAUUUGGGGGGGUUUAUUUUUAGACCUUUUCUUUCCCCCCCAAGGCUUUGUAUUUGGUUUCCUAGAUCGAGGCGCUUCUCUUCUGUGUGUUGAGCAGGCACGGCUCCGUCGUGGGCUGCGUCCUCGUUCCCCCUGUGGCCCCGGCCCCCAUGCUGGGGGUGCUCCCCACCUGGGGUUCCUCCAGGCCAAGUCGUGGGGUGCGGAGGGGUUGGGCCCUGGGCCUGGAGAGCCUAUCUAGAAAAGGGUCACUGGGCAUGGGAGGGCGUGGGAGGGCGUGGGAGGGCUCCCCCCCAUCCUCCUGUCUGUCCCCAUAACAUGGGUCACCCGUCAUCAGGCACCCAGGUGCAAAACCUGCUUCCUGCUGUUGGCCGUUCCUUCCUUGCCCAGCCCUGGACAUCUCUGCCCCCAAGACCGUCGAGGGCUGGGGGCCUCUGUGAGAGGCAGAGGGGGACCCUGGCAGGGCCUUCAAGGAGGGGGCAGCGAGCGGACCGGUUCCAGACAACGGGCAGAACCCAUGCUCGCAGCACACACAGGAGCGGCGCCCUCUGCCCGCCCCACCCCAUAGCGUGGCCAAGAGCCAGCUGGGUGCCGCCCGCCUGGCGGGGCCCGCAGAGGAGGCCUCUGUGCACAGGGCCCUCACAGGGUGAGGGGGAGGCCCGUCUGAGCUGUGCCGCCCACACCUCAGGGUGGCCUGUGCAGCCCGCAUCUGCGUCCGCAGCCUGAGCCACGGGACGACACCAAAGGCCCUCCCAGCAGAUCCGAUCACACUUCUCUGCUUUAAGCCUUAGCCAACUAGUGACAAGUAAAACCAGAUAACGCCCAUGUGUUUUGGAACAUUUAUGUAAGAUUGUCAUAUGAAAUGUAUUUGGGAACUACAUUAAAACUUUUAACUAAAACUCUGGCCUCCCGCAUGCCCCAGGGGCCUCAGGAAGCCAGGCAACCUGGCCAGGAACGGUUCCUCAGCAGCCUGGCUUGCCCCGCACUCCACACCUGGGCAGGUGACCAAGCUCGGCUGCCUUCCAAGACCGGCCGCUCCGUGCAGAGCCUUGCGUCACAGAAGAGCAGUUUGCUUCCCCACCCGGGCGCUGCCUGGCUUCCUGGGGGAGUCACGAGGGAGGGGUGAGGGUGCUGACAGGGUUCACUUGAGCAGACCCAGGAGGAGACCUGGGGUCGGCAUGGCGUGGGCAUGGAGGGUCUCACUCCCUGGGCUCCUGAACCAGUGACCCAUCGUUGGAACCUUUGUCCCACUGACACCUGGUGGCCAAGCCGUGUCCCUGGAGACCUGGUCCAGCCGGUUCUGCGGCCUCAAUCUUCCCACAAUCCCCUCCAUCCCCCACCCCGGGGCUGCUCAGCUCAAAGCCCAGGUCUCAAACAUCACUUGGUGGGCUGGCUCAUUCAUGACAAGCCGCUGAGCCAGGGGCUCCAGUACCGGCCGGAGAAGCGACCCUGACCCCUGACAUCCGUAAUCCAAGAGGAACCAAGGCUGCCAUCACUGAAUGCCUUCUGUCGAGACUUUGGACAUCUUGCCAACCGAGAGCGUUACACCAACAGUCAGGAUUGAAAAUGAUAAUGGAUUUCCCAGGACUAAAAACGUGGGCCCCCGUCUGGGGACGCCACCACCCGCAGAGACCCAGAGAUCAUCAGAAGCUUUUCAAAGCUUGCAGUUGCACACAGCACAGUGGUAUUGUCGAAAGUUGCUGCCACAGUCAGAAGCCAAGCCGUGGAUCACAAGCCACCCGGCGCUGCGAUUCAAGCUACAGCUGAUUGCAACACCAUCAGUUUUAUGAGAAACUGCAGUGGCACUCUGCUGCAGAAAUUCUUGUGGCUUGCUGCAGUCCAAAAUUCUUUACAUAGGCAAAGAAAUACUCCAUUGUGUAUUUUUAUGAGGGUUACAAAUGUUGGAUUUUUUUUUAUAGAUAUAGAAAAAUGUAGAAUGUAACCACAACUAUUGUAGCUCUGUUUGGGCAUCUCCACAUUUUUAAGAGAAUCAGAAUUUCAACAAUAAAAAAUUGGAAGUGGCCAGGGCCCUUCCGACCCAGAGGCCCUUUUCA